rnacentral:tRNA from 1 species
AAUAGCCCAGUGGUUAGGGCACUUACCUGAGAGAUAGGAAAGCUGGGUUCAAGUCUCUGUU